GAUGAAGAACGUAGCAAAAUGCGAUAAGUAAUGUGAAUUGCAGAAUUCAGUGAAUCAUCGAAUCUUUGAACGCACAUUGCGCCCGCUGGUAUUCCGGCGGGCAUGCCUGUUCGAGCGUCAUUUCAACCCUCAAGCCCCCGGGUUUGGUGUUGGGGAUCGGCUCUGCCCUUCUGGGCGGUGCCGCCCCCGAAAUACAUUGGCGGUCUCGCUGCAGCCUCCAUUGCGUAGUAGCUAACACCUCGCAACUGGAACGCGACGCGGCCAUGCCGUAAAACCCCAACUUCUGAAUGUUGACCUCGGAUCAGGUAGGAAUACCCGCUGAACUUAAGAAUAUCAAUAAGCGGAGGA
rnacentral:misc_RNA from 1 species